rnacentral:lncRNA from 1 species
AUGCAGAACGCAUUCCUAUCGCAGACCCAAACAGUUUGUGCGGUUUUUGAGAAUAUUUUUGCGGUACAUUCCACGGACCGCAUUUUCACUCUGCGCUCGCAAUGUGCGACCCAAAUCUGAUUUAGGCUCUAAUUUUACUAAAUUUUAAACCCAACUCCUUCUUCAAUAAAACACCCUAACCCCUCAUUUUUACAUAUUUUUUGAACAAACUAGAAAGAGGAAGAGAGAAUUCUUUAGAGAGAAAGUUUUGCAUUUGUUGAUUUAAUUCUUCGAAGUCACCCAGGCCGGGAAAUCUUAAGUAAUAGCUUUCAUCUCUGUCCUUGUAGGUAAAAAUCCCAAUCCCGUUUUCAUUGAUUUUUAAUUUUAAAAAAGGGGGAAUUCUUAUGCAUUGAUUCUUGAAAACAUGAGUUGAAAUAUGCAUGCAUGUUAUUUAAAACCUUAAAUCUAGUAAAAGGAAUUGAGGAAGAGUAAAGAUUUUCAAAAUAAGGGGGUUGAUAACGUAAAUAAGUUUGGGUAGUAAUUGUGCACUUCAAUUAUAAGAUGUAUGUGUUAACUUGUGAACUAGAUUGUCGGUACUAGGCUGUUGUUGAGCUGAAAGUAGAAGUAACAAGGGAAAUUUGGCUCCAGCUAUGUAUGGCUAACUUUAACCUUUGUAAGGUCACCUUGUUGGAGUACGAGUUCUUGGUAUGUGUCACUUAUGUGGACUAUUUAUGAACCCUUGUGAUUAAUAUGCCUUGAACGUUGUUGGUUAAGUUUUUCGAUAUGAUGGUGCAAGUAAAUGACAACGAGCCAAGUAUGUGUAAAUGUGUUUAUGUGGUAAGAGCUGUAUAACAAAUGACGUCAAAAAGUCGUAAUUGAUGUAAUUGAACAAUUGUGGUAAUAUCAUCUGUGGCUUGUCGUGGGCAAUUAUUGUUGUGACUUGACUUGUAUCUGGGUUGUUGUACUUGAUGGAAGUAAUAUUGAUGUUUAUGAAACUCUUUGUGAAUUGUUGUUUUUGUUGUGUGAAUUAUGAUUGUCCGAUGGGAGCGGGUUACGCACUGCAACACGAAGUAAUAAGGUGUAGGUUAUGGUGAUAAGGGUGGCCGAGGUAAUAAGUAUAGGAAAGCGAUCGAAAUCACUAUUGAAAUGCAAAUAUGCGAAAGUUGUGAAAAUCAUUGAUGUGAUGGAAUAAUGUUGAAAGGG